rnacentral:rRNA from 1 species
AGUGAACGCCGGCGGUAGGCCUAACACAUGCAAGUCGAACGGCAGCACAGUAAGAGCUUGCUCUUACGGGUGGCGAGUGGCGGACGGGUGAGGAAUACAUCGGAAUCUACUUUUUCGUGGGGGAUAACGUAGGGAAACUUACGCUAAUACCGCAUACGACCUACGGGUGAAAGCAGGGGAUCUUCGGACCUUGCGCGAUUGAAUGAGCCGAUGUCGGAUUAGCUAGUUGGCGGGGUAAAGGCCCACCAAGGCGACGAUCCGUAGCUGGUCUGAGAGGAUGAUCAGCCACACUGGAACUGAGACACGGCCCAGACUCCUACGGGAGGCAGCAGUGGGGAAUAUUGGACAAUGGGCGCAAGCCUGAUCCAGCCAUACCGCGUGGGUGAAGAAGGCCUUCGGGUUGUAAAGCCCUUUUGUUGGGAAAGAAAAGCAGCAGGUUAAUACCCCGCUGUUCUGACGGUACCCAAAGAAUAAGCACCGGCUAACUUCGUG